rnacentral:rRNA from 1 species
UACGUAGGGUGCGAGCGUUAAUCGGAAUUACUGGGCGUAAAGCGUGCGCAGGCGGUUUUUUAAGCCAGUUGUGAAAUCCCCGGGCUUAACCUGGGAACUGCAUUUGGAACUGGAAGACUAGAGUACGGCAGAGGGGGGUAGAAUUCCACGUGUAGCAGUGAAAUGCGUGGAUAUGUGGAGGAAUACCGAUGGCGAAGGCAGCCCCCUGGGUCGAUACUGACGCUCAUGCACGAAAGCGUGGGGAGCAAACAGG